rnacentral:tRNA from 1 species
AAGCAUUUAGCUCAAUGGUAGAGCAUCGUUUUUACAUAGCGAAAGCUGUAGGUUCAACUCCUACAAUGCUUA